rnacentral:rRNA from 1 species
UACGUAGGGCGCAAGCGUUGUCCGGAAUUAUUGGGCGUAAAGAGCUCGUAGGCGGCUUGUCACGUUCGGGUGUGAAAGCCCGGGGCUUAACCCCCGGGUCUGCAUUCGAUACGGGCAGGCUAGAGUUCGGUAGGGGAGAUCGGAAUUCCUGGUGUAGCGGUGAAAUGACGCAGAUAAUCAGGAGGAACACCAAUGGGCGAAGGCAGCUCGCUGGGACGGUACUGAGCUGAGGCGCGAAAGCUAGGGGAGCAAACGGG